rnacentral:rRNA from 1 species
GCAAGGUGAGUGGCAGACGGGUGAGUAACGCGUGGGAACCUUCCCUGUGGUACGGAAUAACUUCGGGAAACCGAAGCUAAUACCGUAUAUCUCCUCCGGGAGAAAGAUUUAUCGCCAUAGGAUGGGCCCGCGUUGGAUUAGCUAGUUGGUAGGGUAAUGGCCUACCAAGGCAACGAUCCAUAGUUGGUCUGAGAGGAUGAUCAGCCACACUGGGACUGAGACACGGCCCAGACUCCUACGGGAGGCAGCAGUGGGGAAUAUUGGACAAUGGGCGCAAGCCUGAUCCAGCCAUGCCGCGUGAGUGAAGAAGGCCUUAGGG